CUACGGGAGGCAGCAGUGAGGAAUAUUGGACAAUGGAUGGAAAUCUGAUCCAGCCAAGCCGCGUGCAGGAAGACGGCCCUAUGGGUUGUAAACUGCUUUUGUAUGGGAGCAAUAAGGGCUACGUGUAGUCCGAUGAGAGUACCAUACGAAUAAG
rnacentral:rRNA from 1 species